CUUUAUAUAUACCGCCUACAAUUGAGUAUAAUGAUGUCUGUUUAUUUAUUGAUGUUAUAUAUAUAUAUAUAUAUUUUUACUUUGAAAAAAUAUAUACGUUUACUUUGAAAAAAAUUAGAGUGUUCAAAGCAGGCUCUCGAGCCUGGAUAAUGGUGCAUGGAAUAAUGGAAUAGGACCUCGGUUCUAUUUUGUUGGUUUUCGGAGCGCGAGGUAAUGAUUAAGAGGGACAGACGGGGGCAUUCGAACUGUGCCGUUAGAGGUGAAAUUCUUGGAUCGGCGCAAGACGAACGACUGCGAAAGCAGACUUCGAACCUCUGACUUUC
rnacentral:ncRNA from 1 species